UCGAACCUCCGACUUUCGUUCUUGAUUAAUGAAAACAUUCUUGGCAAAUGCUUUCGCUCUGGUCCGUCUUGCGCCGGUCCAAGAAUUUCACCUCUAGCGGCGCAAUACGAAUGCCCGGCCGUCCCUCUUAAUCAUGGCCUCAGUUCCGAAAACCAACAAAAUAGAACCGCGGUCCUAUUCCAUUAUUCCUAGCUGCGGUAUCCAGGCGGCUCGGGCCUGCUUUGAACACUCUAAUUUUUUCAAAGUAAACGCUUCGGGCCCCGCGGGACACUCAGCUAAGAGCAUCGAGGGGGCGCCGAGAGGCAAGGGGCGGGGACGGGCUUUUUAACUGCAGCAACUUUAAUAUACGCUAUUGGAGCUGGAAUUACCGCGGCUGCUGGCACCAGACUUGCCCUCCAAUGGAUCCUCGCGAAAGGAUUUAAAGUGGACUCAUUCCAAUUACAGGGCCUGAAAGAGUCCUGUAUUGUUAUUUUUCGUCACUACCUCCCCGGGUCGGGAGUGGGUAAUUUGCGCGCCUGCUGCCUUCCUUGGAUGUGGUAGCCGUUUCUCAGGCUCCCUCUCCGGAAUCGAACCCUGAUUCCCCGUCACCCGUGAUAGGGCAGACGUUCGAAUGGGUCGUCGCCGCCACGGGGGCGUGCGAUCGGCCCGAGGUUAUCUAGAGUCACCAAAGCCGCCGGCGCCCGCCCCCGGCCGGGGCCGGGAGGAGGCUGACCGGGUUGGUUUUGAUCUGAUAAAUGCACGCAUCCCCCCGCGAAGGGGGUCAGCGCCCGUCGGCAUGUAUUAGCUCUAGAAUUACCACAGUUAUCCAAGUAGGAGAGGAGCGAGCGACCAAAGGAACCAUAACUGAUUUAAUGAGCCAUUCGCAGUUUCACUGUACCGGCCGUGCGUACUUAGACAUGCAUGGCUUAAUCUUUGAGACAAGCAUAUGCUACUGGCAGGAUCAACCAGGUAGGAGCGCGAGGGAGCCGGGAGAGGCCGCGCACGCGCGCGCGCACACGCGCCGAGGCGGCGGCGGCGGCGGCGGCGACCUCUCGCGGCACGGGCCGUGCGUGCCCGGGCGCGGGGCGCACGGAGGCGGCGGCGGCGGCGGCACCCGAGGCGCGGGGGCGGGGCGAGGACGGACGGACCCCGCCGCCCGCCCCGGCCGACGAGGACGCGCGCGCGGCGGCGUGGAGGGGCGGGGGCGCCCCUCGCGGCGGCCCCGAUUGACGGCGCGUGAGCGGGGCCGGGGCACCAGGCAGUCGCGUCGACACCGGCCGGCCGGCUGCCCGCGCACGCCCCCGCGGGCCGAGAGCCGGACCGAGGCCCGACCCCCGCCCCAGGGGUGGCGCGGCGCGCCGGCGGCCGGUCACGACGGCUGCCCGGGACCCGACCCGCGCUGCGACAGACACGCGCGCGCCAGAACGGGGCGCCGCGGGGGACGGUCCCCGCCCGCACGCAACGUCGCCGUCGCGCGGGCAGCGGCGGCGGACACGGAGGAGGCCGCAGCGGCCCCGGGAAGCGAGUCGCGCUCGGGGCGGGGCCCCGUCGGGCAGCCAGAACAGGCGACGACGGGGAAGGGCUCGGGAGAAGGCCGACGGCGGCGAGGGCCGAGGCGCCGGAGAGGCGGUGGCGGUGGAGGAAGGGCCGCGGCCCGCCGAGAGACGCGCUCGGGGCAAGGAGGGAAGACAGAGCCUCCCGAGGCAAGUCGGCCGCCGGAGCACACACGGGGUCUCACCGCCAGGGGCCUCCAGCACCAGGGGCGGUCCGCAGCGCCCGGAACGGCGACUGGCCCCGUCGCCCGCGCGCAGCUCACGGGGGCUCGGCCCCACCACCCACCUCCACGGCCAGGGCUCUCCCGCACACGGCGCCGGCGUCCCACGCCGGGCGCCUGGCGCACGGGCGCCACCCAACCGGAGCCGAGGCACUUCGCCCGGGCACCACCGGCCUCGGUGGCCGGAGGCGACACCCGCGCGGCGAGGCCCAUUUCGGUCCCGGCCGGUGGGCGGCGCGGCCAGGCGUCUGCCCGGGCGGGGAGCACCGGCGGCAACGGGGAGCGCGGCGCGCGCCUCGACGGAGGGAGCGCGGGCUCGCGGGAAGGCUCCCGGGGACGGCCUCGGGCGCGGACGGGCCACCAGGAAAACACACGCGGGAUCCCACCGCCAACGACACGCGAGGGCGGUCCCACGACGCCUGGGACGCCGGCCGGCCUCAGCCACCCGUCUGCCUGUCUGGUCUGCUCCGGGACCCACGUCCCGAGGGAACGCGCCCGAGAGCGGCGGGGCGGAGCCCGGACAGGGCCGGGCCCUCUCCCCACCCCAGCACGCGACGGGAGAACCACGCGCACGCUCGCGCACACGCGCGGCCCCGCGCCCAACGACGGCCCGGCCGGGCGUGACCCUCCCCGACUCGGAGGGGGGAGGCGCCGGCCGCGGUAG
rnacentral:lncRNA from 1 species